rnacentral:lncRNA from 1 species
UCCCUUUUCACGAAUGUGACCUACCUAAUCAGACUAUGUACCGGGUUUAUAAUAAUAUGAGCAACACAACGGGUGCCACAUGUGGAGCAGAAUCUGCUUACCCUUGCUGCUUUCCCGGAGCACCUGAAAUCACACCCAGUUUUUGGUGGGGUUCAUGUUGUUAGUCUUUAAUGUUCUAUGUUGUGUCGUAUGUAGUAUUUUUUGUAUGUUUGUCUUUUCUUUUUUAGCCAUGGUGUUGUCGGUUUAUUUUUUAUUUAUGAGUUUGACUAUCCCUUUGGUAUCUUUCGCCCUUCUUUUAAAUAAACUGUUAUCACUGAGGUAUGUAUCGCUUUUUUGUAAUUUUUAUGCAAAUGUUGAAAUUAAAAUAGCAAUACUUUAACAUUUUACAUAAGGUAUGCAAAUAUUCAAAGUCAAUGAACCAUGACUGAGAUACAUGGCAUAACAAUCUCCAUGUAAAUGAGAUGUGCCAAUGCUAACACAAC